rnacentral:lncRNA from 10 species
CAGAAAGUGAGAUUCAAAUCCUUUCACUCUCAUAUGCUAAACCUUUUGCCUUACUCUGGGUCAUCAGAGAAAUUUAGGUGAGAAUGUAUGAUGAAGUCUGUGUUUUAGAUUCAAUGCAGAUAUAUCAUUGUGCGCAGAACUCUUUCUGGUUAUAUCCAGUUAAGAGUAAAUCAGGCUUUCAGCCGGGCGCGGUGGCUCACGCCUGUAAUCCUAGCACUUUGGGAGGCCGAGACGGGGUUUCACCUUGUUGAUCAGGCUGAUCUCCAACUCCUGACCUCAGGUCAUCCACCCACCUCCGCCACCGUGCCCGGCCGAAAUUUGUGAUUUUAUAACUAAGAAUUUUUAGUUAAGAACAUUAUCAGUAAAGACAACGUAAUCCCACCCUGGAGAGUUUAUUGGGAGCCCAGGAAUAUUCAUUUUUAAUACACACACACACACACACACACACACACACACACACACUGAUCAGAGUAACAGGAGUUUCUCUCAGGAGUCAUACUCCAUGAGCCUGGACCCAGUGGUUCUUUACGUGGAAACAAAUUUCACCUAUAGGUAACCUGGUAACUGCUAUUUUCUUCUGUGUGCUCUGUCAACAAAGUUAUCAGUGGCUUGCAAGAGAUGCCUUUAAUACUCAGAGCAUUCUAUCUCCCCCUAUCUGGUUUAGAAGGAAGGCCUUCAUUAGUUACCUUUUGAGAAGUUACUAGAACUCUCUAUUAGAGACUUACCCUCCUGACCUGAUAAAAAGGGAUACCCAUGUCUCUAUUAACAGCUUUAUCUCUUUCUACAGUUUUGGGUAUUUGAUAAGGUUAAGGCAAAAUUUUAGUUAUGCUUAAGGAGGAGUUCUUUUUUCACAAUUACAGAGAAAAUUUUGGUUUGUUGAAGAUUGCAGAAACAGCAAUGGUAAUGUAAGACAGUUUUGGCCUUUAAUUUUUUUCUUGAAACUCUACAGUAUACUACAAUAGUGAAGGAAACUAUUAACAUGAGAGAUCCUUCUGAAUAGGAUGUCUUUCUGAGUUCCACUAUUCAGUUACAAAACUCCUUAAUGCUUAAAAUUCAUUAUGAAAAUUAGAUUUAUUUUAAAUACUUUCAAGUGUAUACAUUUUUAUUUCAUAAUUUUUAUUGUCUUUUAACUAAAGCAUUUAGUUCAUUUAUAUUUACUGUGUACCUUUUAUAUUUAAUAAAUAUAUUUACUUAUUAAAAGAUUA